CAUAAACAAAGAGACUUUUAUGUUCAAGAAAAAAAAAAGGCCAUGAUGGUUUUGAAGAAGGCAACAUCAGAGCUGAUGAAGUUUUCAAACAUGCGAGGAAGCAGAAGCAAGUAGAAGAUCCACAACGUGGUAAACUAUCAUGAAGAUGUCAAUCAAUUUACCGCAGGGCAGAGCAGAAAAACAGAGUUAAGCAAGUUAGGGAUCCACAAGCUACAAUGAAGAUGACAUUGCAGGUCAAUCAAUUAACGAAGAAACUUCAGGGCAGAGCAGAGAAGCAGAGAUAAGCAAUGAAGCAGUAGAAACUCGAAGAAACAAGUAGGGGAUCCACAAA
rnacentral:lncRNA from 1 species